UAAGUACACGUUUACGCAUACAUAUAAAGCUUUAAGCACAUUACUAAUUUGAGUAACAAACACAUACGAAGUAAGAACUAAAACACAAAGUUAAGUAGAUACAGAUAAGGCCAAAGCAAUUGAAUUCAUAAACCAAUGACAGAGGAAAGAAGGCCUACAGCAACGGCAACAACAAGUGUAUUAGAAGCUAUCAAGGUAAUAGACCUGGUAGAAAUCAUUCCCAAGAAUAAAGGAGAGGCAGGAAAGCUAGAUGGUUUUAUAGGAGCGGUUGAACAGGUAUUAGGCCUCAUAAGAGGAGAGGAAAGGUCAAAAAUAGGAGUAAUCGCACUUAGGGCGGUAAGGAGUAAGAUCACAAGACCAGCGGAUAGAGUCCUUGACUUGGACGAAUCCGAGUAAACUGGGAUCAAAUAAAGAAAAUAUUGAUUACCCAUUUCAAGGAUAAGAGAUCGGAGCAGGAUUUGAUUAUGGAGUUGACCCAUAUUAAGGAAAAGAAAUUAGAGUUGGAAGCCUUAUACACGAAAGUUAUGUCACUGAAUGAAGCUUUAGUGAGUCUAUCCAAAUCCAAUGAGCAGGGCAUGUUGUCGAGAAACGGUAUAAAGAAAUGGCUUUAAAUGCCUUCGUUUCAGCCUUGAGGGGACCGAUAGGGGUAAUGAUCAGACACAUGGGAGUACCCAAUAUAGCAAAGGCAUACGAGAUUGCUUGUAGAGAGAAGAACUUGGGUACUCUACAAGAGGCACAGAAAGAGGCAAGAGGUCAGAGGCUGACUGAAGACCAGGCUAAAGAGAGUAAAGAAAUUUCGAAGCAAAAACUAGAGAAACAAGACAAUCCAGUGCCGGAGUCGCAGACGGGCAUUUGGUCUCAAUAUCGACCGCAUUUCCCAAUGCCGUUUCCGGUACCAAAUAUGAAUGGUUGGUCAGGAUUUGGAUUUCCGUAUCCAAUGAUGGGUAACCCAUGCAGAACAGACGGUAGUAACCAAGGGCAAACUGCUAACUAUCAAAGACCAUAUCGCAAUUAUUAAAACAAAAACCAUAAGUGGAAACAACUAUAAUUAAAAGCCUAGCCAUCCAGGUAGGUGGAGAUGCAGAAGGCAGUGGUCAGACUAUUCAAUUCAAACUUUUCCAGACAAUCGUAUAAUUCAAAAAAUUCAGGGCAAUCGAAUAAUUUCGCCGAUUCAAAACGGUCAUAUAAUUCGAAUAGCAACUCAGAAAGGAACGGAAACAGACCGUCAACUGGUGGUCAGUUGCAUAACAUCCAAUAGGAUGAUGCAAAUUUUUCGCAAUUAGCCUCGAGCAGCCAACAGGAUAUUUAGGGUUCAAGAGCGGUCACUCAACCCUACCUUAUGUAUUGAUCAAGAUCACUCCAAAUAAAACAAUAAAAAUGUUUAUCGACACGGGUUCCACUUUCUCUUUUAUUCGUCCAGAAUUGUUUCAAGCACAGUAUAUAUAAGACCUACAAAAUCCAAAACUGAUUAAGACAAUUGCACAAACUCACAAAAUUCUCAAAGAAGCUAAUUUACCAACGUUCAAGGAACUAGGUGAAGUAGGCAAGAUGAGAAUGUUACUCUUCAGAUUCUUUGAAGGAUUAGUAGGGAUGGAUUUGUUGGACCAAGUAGAAGCUUUGAUCGACAUAAAAAAUGGUUGGGUCCUUGCGGUGGGUGAGAAAUUACGGAUUCAGUUCGCUACUUAUAGACCAAGCGAGAUCCAUACAAUCGAAGCUGGAGCAAAGAGAGUAAUUCAAAUUGCAGUACAGGUACCCGAUGGGGAUUUUUUAUAGGGCAAUGGUCGGAACGAGCCUGGUGGAGGUAGUAAGCUACGCGGAGAUAGACCUAGAGUUCUUUUUGGAAGAACAGUUGUGUUGUAAAAUUCAAAGCUGAACAACAUUUCCGCCUUCAUGGCUCUGGUCGUUGACGCCAAUGAUUAUCCGAUUAUUACCCCUAGAUCAUAAGGGUGUAGUGGGUUCGUUUAAGAGUAUGUAACAGGUAGAAGGAAGCUUUUCCUACACCAUAA